rnacentral:rRNA from 1 species
AGUGAACGCUGGCGGUAGGCCUAACACAUGCAGGUCGAACGGCAGCACAGUAAGAGCUUGCUCUUACGGGUGGCGAGUGGCGGACGGGUGAGGAAUACAUCGGAAUCUACUUUUUCGUGGGGGAUAACGUAGGGAAACUUACGCUAAUACCGCAUACGACCUACGGGUGAAAGCAGGGGAUCUUCGGACCUUGCGCGAUUGAAUGAGCCGAUGUCGGAUUAGCUAGUUGGCGGGGUAAAGGCCCACCAAGGCGACGAUCCGUAGCUGGUCUGAGAGGAUGAUCAGCCACACUGGAACUGAGACACGGUCCAGACUCCUACGGGAGGCAGCAGUGGGGAAUAUUGGACAAUGGGCGCAAGCCUGAUCCAGCCAUACCGCGUGGGUGAAGAAGGCCUUCGGGUUGUAAAGCCCUUUUGUUGGGAAAGAAAAGCAGCAGGUUAAUACCCCGCUGUUCUGACGGUACCCAAAGAAUAAGCACCGUCUAACUUCGUG